rnacentral:rRNA from 1 species
AGGACGAACGCUGGCGGCGUGCUUAACACAUGCAAGUCGAGCGGAAAGGCCCUUCGGGGUACUCGAGCGGCGAACGGGUGAGUAACACGUGAGCAACCUGCCCUUAGCUCCGGGAUAGCUCCGGGAAACCGGAAUUAAUACCGGAUACGACCACGGCCGACAUCUGCUGUGGUGGAAAGGAUUCCGGCUAAGGAUGGGCUCGCGGCCUAUCAGCUAGUUGGUGGAGUAACGGCCCACCAAGGCGACGACGGGUAGCCGGCCUGAGAGGGCGACGGCCACGACUGGGACUGAGACACGGCCCAGACUCCUACGGGAGGCAGCAGUGGGGAAUAUUGCGCAAUGGGCGAAAGCCUGACGCAGCGACGCCGCGUGGGGGAUGAAGGCCUUCGGGUUGUAAAGCUCUUUCGCCCGCGACGAUGAUGACGGUAGCGGGAGAAGAAGCCCGGCUAACUUCGUGCCAGCAGCCGC